UUUUAACUUUAGUGGCGAACGGGUGCGUAAUACGUGAGAAUCUGCCUUUAGGAGGAGUAUAACUGUGGGAAACGACUGCUAACACUCCAUAUGUCGAGAGAUGAAAUAAUUUAUUGCCUAAAGAUGAGCUCGCGCCUGAUUAGCUAGUUGGUGAGGUAAUGGCUCACCAAGGCCACGAUCAGUAGCUGGUUUGAGAGAACGAUCAGCCACACUGGGACUGAGACACGGCCCAGACUCCUCCGGGAGGCAGCAGUGAGGAAUUUUCCGCAAUGGGCGAAAGCCUGACGGAGCAAUACCGCGUGAGGGAUGAAGGAUUUUGGUCUGUAAACCUCUUUUCUCAAGAAAGAAGUUCUGACGGUACUUGAGGAAUAAGCAUCGGCUAACUCCGUGCCAGCAGCCGCGGUAAUACGGGGGAUGCAAGCGUUAUCCGGAAUCAUUGGGCGUAAAGCGCCUGUAGGUUGUUUAAUAAGUCUGUUGUUAAAGACUAGGGCUCAACCCUA
rnacentral:rRNA from 1 species